rnacentral:rRNA from 1 species
UGGGGAAUCUUCCGCAAUGGACGAAAGUCUGACGGAGCAACGCCGCGUGAGUGAAGAAGGUUUUCGGAUCGUAAAACUCUGUCUUUUGGGGCGAACGUGAGUAUGGUGAACAAUCAUAGUCAGUGACGGUACCAAAGGAGGAAGCCACGGCUAACUACGUGCCAGCAGCCGCGGUAAUACGUAGGUGGCAAGCGUUGUCCGGAAUUAUUGGGCGUAAAGAGCGCGUAGGCGGGAUAGUCAGUCUGUUGUAAAGUGCGGGGCUCAACCCCGUGAUGGCAAUGGAAACAGCUAUUCUUGAGUGCAGGAGAGGAAAGUGGAAUUCCCAGUGUAGCGGUGAAAUGCGUAGAUAUUGGGAGGAACACCAGUGGCGAAGGCGACUUUCUGGACUGUGUCUGACGCUGAGGCGCGAAAGCCAGGGGAGCGAACGGGAUUAGAUACCCCGGUAGUCCUGGCCGUAAACGAUGGGUACUAGGUGUGGGAGGUAUCGACCCCUUCCGUGCCGGAGUUAACGCAAUAAGUACCCCGCCUGGGGAGUACGGUCGCAAAACUGAAACUUAAAUGAAUUGACGGGGUCAUAGCUGUUUCCUG